rnacentral:lncRNA from 1 species
UGGAGUUAGGGUUAGGGUUGCAGCUAGGGUUAGGGUUGGGCUUGGAGCUAGGAUUUUUCUGAGUGCACUGAACCAACUCCCGAGUCUCUAGGACAUUCCUAAAAAAAUUUGAUUUUUUCCCAUAGGAAUGCAUGGGUUAGGUUUAUGGUUAGGGUUAGGGUUGGAGCUAGGGUUAGGGUUAGGGUUAGGGUUGGAGUAAGGGUUAGUGUUGGAGCUAGGGUUAGGGUUGGGCUUGGAGCUAGGAUUUUUCUGAGUGCACUGAACCAACUCCCGAGUCUCUAGGACAUUCCUAAAAAAAUUUGAUUUUUUCCCAUAGGAAUGCAUGGGUUAGGGUUAUGGUUAGGGUUAGGGUUGGAGCUAGGGUUAGGGUUAGGGUUAGGGUUGGAGUUAGGGUUAGUGUUGGAGCUAGGGUUAGGGUUGGGCUUGGAGCUAGGAUUUGUCUGAGUGCAAUGAACCAACUCCCGAGUCUCUAGGACGUUCCUAAAAAAAUUUGAUUUUUUUCCCAUAGGAAUGCAUGGGUUAGGGUUAGGGUUAGGGUUGGAGCUAGGGUUAGGGUUAGGGUUAGGGUUGGAGUUAGGGUUAGUGUUGGAGCUAGGGUUAGGGUUGGGCUUGGAGCUAGGAUUUGUCUGAGUGCACUGAACCAACUCCCGAGUCUCUAGGACAUUCCUAAAAAAAUUUGAUUUUUUCCCAUAGGAAUGCAUGGGUCAGGGUUAGGGUUAGGGUUGGAGCUAGGGUUAGGGUUAGGGUUAGGGUUGGAGUUAGGGUUAGUGUUGGAGCUAGGGUUAGGGUUGGGCUUGGAGCUAGGAUUUUUCUGAGUGCACUGAACCAACUCCCGAGUCUCUAGGACAUUCCUAAAAAAAUUUGAUUUUUUCCCAUAGGAAUGCAUGGGUUAGGGUUAUGGUUAGGGUUAGGGUUGGAGCUAGGGUUAGGGUUAGGGUUAGGGUUGGAGUUAGGGUUAGUGUUGCAGCUAGGGUUAGGGUUGGGCUUGGAGCUAGGAUUUUUCUGAGUGCACUGAACCAACUCCCGAGUCUCUAGGACAUUCCUAAAAAAAUUUGAUUUUUUCCCAUAGGAAUGCAUGGGUUAGGGUUAGGGUUAGGGUUGGAGCUAGGGUUAGGGUUAGGGUUAGGGUUGGAGUUAGGGUUAGUGUUGGAGCUAGGGUUAGGGUUGGGCUUGGAGCUAGGAUUUUUCUGAGUGCAAUGAACCAACUCCCGAGUCUCUAGGACGUUCCUAAAAAAAUUUGAUUUUUUCCCAUAGGAAUGCAUGGGUUAGGGUUAUGGUUAGGGUUAGGGUUGGAGCUAGGGUUAGGGUUAGGGUUAGGGUUGGAGUUAGGGUUAGUGUUGGAGCUAGGGUUAGGGUUGGACUUGGAGCUAGGACUUUUCUGAGUGCAAUGAACCAACUCCUGAGUCUCUAGGACGUUCCUAAAAAAAUUUGAUUUUUUCCCAUAGGAAUGCAUGGGUUAGGGUUAGGGUUAGGGUUGGAGCUAGGGUUAGGGUUGCAGCUAGGGUUAGGGUUGGGCUUGGAGCUAGGAUUUUUCUGAGUGCACUGAACCAACUCCCGAGUCUCUAGGACAUUCCUAAAAAAAUUUGAUUUUUUCCCAUAGGAAUGCAUGGGUUAGGGUUAGGGUUAGGGUUGGAGCUAGGGUUAGGGUUAGGGUUAGGGUUGGAGUUAGGGUUAGUGUUGGAGCUAGGGUUAGGGUUGGGCUUGGAGCUAGGAUUUUUCUGAGUGCAAUGAACCAACUCCCGAGUCUCUAGGACGUUCCUAAAAAAAUUUGAUUUUUUCCCAUAGGAAUGCAUGGGUUAGGGUUAUGGUUAGGGUUAGGGUUGGAGCUAGGGUUAGGGUUAGGGUUAGGGUUGGAGUUAGGGUUAGUGUUGGAGCUAGGGUUAGGGUUGGACUUGGAGCUAGGACUUUUCUGAGUGCAAUGAACCAACUCCCGAGUCUCUAGGACGUUCCUAAAAAAAUUUGAUUUUUUCCCAUAGGAAUGCAUGGGUUAGGGUUAGGGUUAGGGUUGGAGCUAGGGUUAGGGUUAGGGUUAGGGUUGGAGUUAGGGUUAGUGUUGGAGCUAGGGUUAGGGUUGGGCUUGGAGCUAGGAUUUUUCUGAGUGCACUGAACCAACUCCCGAGUCUCUAGGACAUUCCUAAAAAAAUUUGAUUUUUUCCCAUAGGAAUGCAUGGGUUAGGGUUAGGGUUAGGGUUGGAGCUAGGGUUAGGGUUAGGGUUAGGGUUGGAGUUAGGGUUAGUGUUGGAGCUAGGGUUAGGGUUGGGCUUGGAGCUAGGAUUUUUCUGAGUGCAAUGAACCAACUCCCGAGUCUCUAGGACGUUCCUAAAAAAAUUUGAUUUUUUCCCAUAGGAAUGCAUGGGUUAGGGUUAUGGUUAGGGUUAGGGUUGGAGCUAGGGUUAGGGUUAGGGUUAGGGUUGGAGUUAGGGUUAGUGUUGGAGCUAGGGUUAGGGUUGGACUUGGAGCUAGGACUUUUCUGAGUGCAAUGAACCAACUCCCGAGUCUCUAGGACGUUCCUAAAAAAAUUUGAUUUUUUCCCAUAGGAAUGCAUGGGUUAGGGUUAGGGUUAGGGUUGGAGCUAGGGUUAGGGUUAGGGUUAGGGUUGGAGUUAGGGUUAGUGUUGGAGCUAGGGUUAGGGUUGGGCUUGGAGCUAGGAUUUUUCUGAGUGCACUGAACCAACUCCCGAGUCUCUAGGACAUUCCUAAAAAAAUUUGAUUUUUUCCCAUAGGAAUGCAUGGGUUAGGGUUAGGGUUAGGGUUGGAGCUAGGGUUAGGGUUAGGGUUAGGGUUGGAGUUAGGGUUAGUGUUGGAGCUAGGGUUAGGGUUGGGCUUGGAGCAAGGAUUUUUCUGAGUGCACUGAACCAACUCCCGAGUCUCUAGGACAUUCCUAAAAAAAUUUGAUUUUUUCCCAUAGGAAUGCAUGGGUUAGGGUUAUGGUUAGGGUUAGGGUUGGAGCUAGGGUUAGGGUUAGGGUUAGGGUUGGAGUUAGGGUUAGUGUUGGAGCUAGGGUUAGGGUUGGGCUUGGAGCUAGGAUUUUUCUGAGUGCAAUGAACCAACUCCCGAGUCUCUAGGACAUUCCUAAAAAAAUUUGAUUUUUUUCCCAUAGGAAUGCAUGGGUUAGGGUUAGGGUUAGGGUUAGGGUUAGAGCUAGGGUUAGGGUUAGGGUUAGGGUUGGAGUUAGGGUUAGUGUUGGAGCUAGGGUUAGGGUUGGGCUUGGAGCUAGGAUUUUUCUGAGUGCAAUGAACCAACACCCGAGUCUCUAGGACGUUCCUAAAAAAAUUUGAUUUUUUCCCAUAGGAAUGCAUGGGUUAGGGUUAGGGUUAGGGUUGGAGCUAGGGUUAGGGUUAGGGUUAGGGUUGGAGUUAGGGUUAGUGUUGGAGCUAGGGUUAGGGUUGGGCUUGGAGCUAGGAUUUUUCUGAGUGCACUGAACCAACUCCCAAGUCUCUAGGACAUUCCUAAAAAAAUUUGAUUUUUUCCCAUAGGAAUGCAUGGGUUAGGGUUAGGGUUAGGGUUGGAGCUAGGGUUAGGGUUAGGGUUAGGGUUGGAGUUAGGGUUAGUGUUGGAGCUAGGGUUAGGGUUGGGCUUGGAGCUAGGAUUUUUCUGAGUGCACUGAACCAACUCCUGAGUCUCUAGGACAUUCCUAAAAAAAAUUGAUUUUUUUCCCAUAGGAAUGCAUGGGUUAGGGUUAUGGUUAGGGUUAGGGUUGGAGCUAGGGUUAGGGUUAGGGUUAGGGUUGGAGUUAGGGUUAGUGUUGGAUCUAGGGUUAGGGUUGGGCUUGGAGCUAGGAUUUUUCUGAGUGCACUGAACCAACUCCCGAGUCUCUAGGACAUUCCUAAAAAAAUUUGAUUUUUUCCCAUAGGAAUGCAUGGGUUAGGUUUAUGGUUAGGGUUAGGGUUAGAGCUAGGGUUAGGGUUAGGGUUAGGGUUGGAGUUAGGGUUAGUGUUGGAGCUAGGGUUAGGGUUGGGCUUGGAGCUAGGAUUUUUCUGAGUGCAAUGAACCAACUCCCGAGUCUCUAGGACGUUCCUAAAAAAAUUUGAUUUUUUCCCAUAGGAAUGCAUGGGUUAGGGUUAGGGUUAGGGUUGGAGCUAGGGUUAGGGUUAGGGUUAGGGUUGGAGUUAGGGUUAGUGUUGGAGCUAGGGUUAGGGUUGGGCUUGGAGCUAGGGUUUUUCUGAGUGCACUGAACCAACUCCCGAGUCUCUAGGACAUUCCUAAAAAAAUUUGAUUUUUUCCAAUAGGAAUGCAUGGGUUAGGGUUAUGGUUAGGGUUAGGGUUGGAGCUAGGGUUAGGGUUAGGGUUAGGGUUGGAGUUAGGGUUAGUGUUGGAGCUAGGGUUAGGGUUGGGCUUGGAGCUAGGAUUUUUCUGAGUGCAAUGAACCAACUCCGGAGUCUCUAGGACGUUCCUAAAAAAAUUUGAUUUUUUCCCAUAGGAAUGCAUGGGUUAGGGUUAGG